rnacentral:rRNA from 1 species
UACGUAGGGUGCGAGCGUUGUCCGGAAUUACUGAGCGUAAAGAGCUCGUAGGUGGUUUGUCGCGUUGUCCGUGAAAACUCACAGCUUAACUGUGGGCGUGCGGGCGAUACGGGCAGACUGGAGUACUGCAGGGGAGACUGGAAUUCCUGGUGUAGCGGUGGAAUGCGCAGAUAUCAGGAGGAACACCGGUGGCGAAGGCGGGUCUCUGGGCCGAUACUGACGCUGAGGAGCGAAAGCGUGGGGAGCAAACAGG